UUAUUACUGAAACUAAGCUACAGUGUGCUGCAUAGCCUUAGAAAAUGAGUUAUUUCGUAAACAAGGUACAACCUUGCACUUGAGGGCAUAUAGGUGUUCCUAAAUUGAAAUUAUUUGCUUAUGCCAUGCUUGUACUCAUCGUUGUGGAAAUAUAAAAAUUAGGAACAGAGAUUUUAUAUCAUACUGUUUGCUAUAUCUCUGAAGUCUGAACCUAUACAUAUAAAUGAACAUGUUAGUUUCAGAUGCUUGUCAUAAUCGCUGGCAAAAAUAAAUAUUGAGGUUCAGAAUUUUUUAGCAUCAGGAUAGCAUACCUACUGUAGUUAGUAAAACACGCAUGGAUCCAACCUUUUCCCUACACAGAGAAGAGUAUUCCACAUGCUGGUCAGUCCUGUAUCAACGCUAAAAAAGGGCUAAACCGGGUUGUGCUAAUUCCAAUUGGAAGCAUCUGAUUGAUAUACACAUGGUAAAUUGGUAAUUCCUGAGGUAAAUAGCUGAAUUUCAGUACCUAUGUUCAGGUUUUGGGUAAAGAGUUAGAGUCUACGAAACCAAAUUCAGUUACAGUAGCAUGCCACGGGUCUCACUUGCGAACCAUCUUUGCUACCCUUUGACGAGAGCGUCCCUGCGCCCCUUCCAGACGACCUCCCCUGAUUACAACUAUGUUCUGAACGCAUCCUUCCUCUGUUGGUUCAGUUCGACAAUAAGGUAGCAGUAUAUUCUUUGGUGACUGAAUUAAGAAGAUAAACUUUGUAUGACCUGUUUCUUGGUUUAGAGCUUUGAUAUAAUCUGACAAAGAGCUGUAAGUUUAUUUGCUUACAUGUGAGUAGAUUAGUUGAAAUACUGGUAAAAAAAAGUAGAUUGGUUGAAAGCAGUUGAAACUAUUUGUAAUAUUGUCGGUUUAUUUACUUGAAUUCAGAUGUGAGACCCGAAAUAUUACGUACAUAGGAGUACACAAUCUGAUUUUGUAGUACUGCAAAUGUACUACAUAGGUUUACAUGCUCUGUUUAUGAUCAUCUUGUUUAGUGCAGGUAAAUAUAUAGUAGUCAAAUAGUUUAUGUUUUAAGUUUCACUCCUAUAAAUUUAUUGCUAGCAUUCUUUUCAUUUAAAUGGCAGCACAUGUGACCUUAAGUGUAAUACUAGUGGCAUGCUUGCUAUGCCUGUCUUAUUAGUAAAUGCAUUUUUCAACUUGUUAAAACCAUGUAUGAGUCAAUGUUGAUUCACCGCCUUGUCUUUUUCCAACUUGUUUGAAUCAGGCAAAUCAAGCUUCUACAAAGCCACCCGGGAGAAAGCAUAUUCCAAAGAUAUGUACAACUUGUUUUUAACUUAUUCCCCUCAUUUGGGAAACUUUGCCCUUUCCAUUGGAUUACCUAUACGCAGAUCCUGAGUGCAAGGUACUAAUUCGCAUGCUCAAGCAUUAGUUUACCUACUUGAUAUCUUAUAUUGUAUGCUACAGGGCAUAUGCGACCUAUAUACGGGAAUACUACUCUGCAUUCACAAUGUUUCUGUUAAACUUGUUAUAUUAGGAUCAACAUGAUUGAUAGUGUAGUAGUAAAAACAUCCAAUCAUUUGCAGGUCAGUACAUGUGGGUUUCCUCCUUGGAGGAUUGAAAAGCAUCACUUUAUUAGGAUCAACGUGAUUGAUAGUGUAGUAGUAAAUCUUUGGUAUCACUCUUGGCAAGUUUUGACUUGUAACCACAUGUUAUUACUGACUCAAGUGUAUAAAUCAUAUUUUGGAAAUCUCAGACUUACUACUAGGUACCAGUUUACAUAUGCAGCUACAUCUGGAUAUAGUUUCAUGAUUUAUUGUGAUUCAUUGUAUUUUAUUAAAAUAUUGGUACUUCUGAAUGCUAAAAUCAUUAUGGGAAAAUGCGAUUUUUUUAGAUCCAAGAAGGAUGCAUAGCCUGUUGGGAAAAAUUCUUGGCUAGGUACUAAUCUACAUCCUUUAUUGUUUAUAGUAUGUCCAUCUAGAGCUUUUAAUUAGUGAACUAAUGCAGGGUUUAUUCAUAACAUCGAAGGUACACUACUUGUAUUGUUAGAUUGCACUCUUGUGUCAAUCGAAAUCAAAUUCAUGUAUAUAAAAUAUCUAAUUAAGUGCAGCAUGCUGGAAACAUACACUGGACCUGAUAGCAGAGGACACAUCUGUUAGGAACAAUUCCUGGCUUCUUGCAUUUGCUUCAACUUCGGUCUACACAGAAGAGAAGAAUAACCGUGUGUGUUUGUAGAACUGGAACAAAACAUUAGCAAUGUUGUUUCUGAUAGAUGCAAUGGAUUAGUAGUCGUUUAUCAAUGUAGCUUCUUAUCGGUGCAAUGGAUUAGCUAGUUGUGGAUUUAUGAGUUUUCAUUGCCAAUUUAUUUUCAGCAUGCUGAUACUUUGUAAAGUCAGUAUGUACUUUCGACUUUCAAUGAAUAAAGGUUUAUCAUGAUA